rnacentral:rRNA from 1 species
UGCCGCCUACGGGGCGCAGCAGUGGGGAAUAUUGGGCAAUGGGCGCAAGCCUGACCCAGCAACGCCGCGUGAAGGAAGAAGGCUUUCGGGUUGUAAACUUCUUUUGUCAGGGACGAAGCAAGUGACGGUACCUGACGAAUAAGCCACGGCUAACUACGUGCUAGCAGCCGCUGUAAUACGUAGGUGGCAAGCGUUAUCCGGAUUUAUUGGGUGUAAAGGGCGUGUAGGCGGGAAUGCAAGUCAGAUGUGAAAACUAU